rnacentral:rRNA from 1 species
UACGUAGGGGGCAAGCGUUGUCCGGAUUUAUUGGGCGUAAAGAGCGUGUAGGCGGCCAUGUAGGUCCGUUGUGAAAACUCGAGGCUCAACCUCGAGACGCCGAUGGAAACCAUGUGGCUAGAGUCCGGAAGAGGAGAGUGGAAUUCCUGGUGUAGCGGUGAAAUGCGCAGAUAUCGGGAGGAACACCGGUGGCGAAGGCGGUUCUCUGGGCCUUACCUGACGCUGAGGAGCGAAAGCGUGGGGAGCGAACAGG